AGUCACAGUCAUUUGAACUUGCGGAGGCGAGUAGCCGGGUGUCUUCGUGGAGUCUCCGUCGACUUUGCAGACUUUAAAUGUUCAGCCUGGUCUGCUGAUGAUGCAGGCGUCACCUGAGCUGCUCACCUGCAGUGUCCAUGAGGGUUGGACCAGUAACCGGGGACAGUGGCCUUCAGGGACACCGUACAGAGGCUGCUCAGCGGUGUGAAGGUGGAUGAUACGACGAAUUCCACAACUAAAGAAAUGCGUCAUCGCCACUGAACCUGGGGACAGGUGAGCAGGAUGGAAGCGUCCAGUCAGAGGAAGCGUCACCACUGAUGCUCGUUGUCCGGGUGAACGUCUCGCUGGUCGUCAGCGGUGGAGACGAUCAGAUCCUGUGAAGCUGGCUGGAUGUCGAAGGAAUCUCUGGAUCCUGGCUGAGAUGUUUUCAGCCCUUUGAAGGCCGUCACCUGUGCAGUCCAGCAGGAUGGAAGCGUCCAGUCAGAGGAAGCGUCACCACUGAUGCUCGUUGUCCGGGUGAACGUCUCGCUGGUCGUCAGCGGUGGAGACGAUCAGAUCCUGUGAAGCUGGGUGGAAGUCUCUGCUGGCAGAGUGAGGAAGCCUCACCACCGACGGUCGUCAUGGGCUGGUCGACGUGAAGGGGCUACAUCAGUUUCUCUUCGCUGAUUCAGGAGGAUUUUUCAGAAGUUUUUGUAUGCAAAAAUGUUUGUUAAUCAAGGAAUAAAGAGCCAACUGUUGCUAACUUGAGUUUAUUGAACAGUUUUGUCUGCAAAUAGAAACAACUUUGUUUUAUCAAACCACAAUGAAAUAAAAGCAUCAG